UGUUAGAGCCGCCCGUACCCCAAACCGACACAGGUGAUCAGGUAGAGAAUACCAAGGCGAUCGAGUGAACCAUGGUUAAGGAACUCGGCAAAAUGCCCCCGUAACUUCGGGAGAAGGGGGGCCGGAUGCGUUACCUCACUUGCUGGGGGAAGCGUUGAUGGCCGCAGAGACCAGGCCCAAGCGACUGUUUACUAAAAACACAGGUCCGUGCGAAGAAGUAAUUCGAUGUAUACGGACUGACGCCUGCCCGGUGCUGGAACGUUAAGGGGACAGGUUAGCUGGUUUAGGCCGGCGAAGCUUUGAACUUAAGCGCCAGUAAACGGCGGUGGUAACUAUAACCAUCCUAAGGUAGCGAAAUUCCUUGUCGGGUAAGUUCCGACCUGCACGAAUGGCGUAACGACUUGGGCGCUGUCUCAACCAUGGACUCGGCGAAAUUGCAUUACGAGUAAAGAUGCUCGUUACGCGCAGCAGGACGGAAAGACCCCGGGACCUUUACUACAACUUGGUAUUGGUGGUCGGUACAACUUGUGUAGGAUAGGUGGGAGACUGUGAAAUCCGGACGCCAGUUCGGGUGGAGUCAUCGUUGAAAUACCACUCUGGUUGUUCUGGCUGUCUAACUUCGGUCCAUUAUCUGGAUCAGGGACAGUGCCUGGUGGGUAGUUUGACUGGGGCGGUCGCCUCCUAAAAGGUAACGGAGGCGCUCAAAGGUUCCCUCAGCCUGGUUGGCAAUCAGGUGUCGAGUGUAAGUGCACAAGGGAGCUUGACUGUGAGACAGACAUGUCGAGCAGGGACGAAAGUCGGAACUAGUGAUCCGGCGGUGGCAUGUGGGAGCACCGUCGCUCAACGGAUAAAAGGUACCCCGGGGAUAACAGGCUGAUCUUCCCCAAGAGUCCAUAUCGACGGGAUGGUUUGGCACCUCGAUGUCGGCUCGUCGCAUCCUGGGGCUGGAGUAGGUCCCAAGGGUUGGGCUGUUCGCCCAUUAAAGCGGCACGCGAGCUGGGUUUAGAACGUCGUGAGACAGUUCGGUCCCUAUCCGCUGCGCGCGCAGGAGACUUGAGAAGGGCUGCCCCUAGUACGAGAGGACCGGGGUGGACGAACCUCUGGUGUGCCAGUUGUUCCGCCAGGAGCACGGCUGGUUGGCUACGUUCGGGAGUGAUAACCGCUGAAAGCAUCUAAGCGGGAAGCACGCUUCAAGAUGAGGUCUCCCACCGAGUUAAUCGGGUAAGGCCCCCAGUAGACCACUGGGUUGAUAGGCCAGAGGUGGAAGCGCCGUAAGGUGUGGAGCUGACUGGUACUAAUAGGCCGAGGGCUUGUCUCG
rnacentral:rRNA from 1 species